AGUCUGUAGGACCCAGUUUCAAGAAUUACAGAAGCUGAGUAGACACAAGAGUCACAGGACAGUCUUUAUCCUACAGUAGGGAUCUUUCGGUUCCUCUACAGAGCAGUAAUCAGAACAACUCAGUUCUGAAGAGAUCAGUUACAGUUAGUUUUUUUGCUCUCUCAUUUCCUUUUUCAUAAGAGCAGUAGUACCAAAUAAAUGUGCUGGCCCAUAAUUCACAAGAACUCCCAACCUUACAUACAUUUCCAUAGCUAAAUUUUUCAAAACAAACUUUUGGUAUAAUUGCAGCCUUAUGCCUACCGUAUGUCUGUGGAUUUACCUGAUACAAAUAUUCACGUGAGAACUGUAAGCACAAGGUAGCCCCUCUCACUUCAGCACUACUCACUGUUCCCCAUGCUCUGGCAUGUGUGUGCUUCAGCCCCUCGCUGCUUCAGGAAUAUGUUUCCCUUGCUGAGAAGACUUUGGCAGUAACUAUCAUCAGGUAGGGAAUAAGCAAAUUCUGUAUGCUCUUACUGGCAAUUCUUGGCUUCCUUAUCAUGACGUGUCUAGUUUGCUCACUCCAGCUUCAAAGAAUCUUCUGAUUUCUCUGUGAAACCACAACAUUAUCCUUACGUGUGUUUAUCUCUGUGUGAAAUGUUUCAUGCAGUCACCAGAGAAGGAGAAACAAACUGGAGAAACAAACAUAGAAUUCCCACCUCCUCACACCAACCUCACCACUGGUAAUAUAGCACUUGUUUUCAGGGGAAACCUGAAACCAGUCAGAACUGCCAUUCUGCAGUUCUCCACACCUCUGAAAGCAUGGUGGAGUGUUUGUUUCGUUUGAGAUUCUUUCUGUUUCUACUUUUUUUUUCCACAGUAAUUCUUCAUAUCUUUUCUAGUCUAUUACCACAGUCCUCCAAUGAAAAGGCCCUAGCAGAAAUAUUUACUUAUUAGCAUUCUUUAGAAGAAAAGGGAUAAACAAAACACAAAUGCUCUCUUCUCAUAGGUAAGAAGAAACUAAUUACUUCCCACAUCCAUGAUGCAUUAUUUCAACUUCUGUUAACCACAGCACAUGUAUAAACACCAUUCAGCUAUCUAAAUUUUCUGUUUGAUGUACAGAA
ensembl:lncRNA